rnacentral:lncRNA from 1 species
CGAGCGCUCCGGGCGGAUGCUGGCACUCAGGCUUCGCUGCUCUCUGGAUGCUGCUCAACUUCUAGCCCAAGCGCAGGAGCUUUGAAGUCAUUUGUCCCUUUUCGCUUGGAUCGACUUCUUAUUUUGAGAUUUUGGGCAUUGCGGUUUACGCAGGAACCUCAAUAUCGCUCUCCCCACCUCCCUCCCUCUUUCUCCAACCUUUGGAUGCGUCUCUG